rnacentral:rRNA from 1 species
AAUGAACGUUGGCGGCGUGGAUUAGGCAUGCAAGUCGCGCGAUAAGAGUAGCAAUACUUGGACAGCGGCGAAAGGGAGAGUAAUACAUAGGUACGUACCCUUGGGACUGGGAUAGCGGCGGGAAACUGCCGGUAAUACCAGAUGACGUUUCCGAACCAAAGGUGUGAAUCCGCCUGAGGAGCGGCCUAUGUCCUAUUAGCUUGUUGGUGGGGUAACGGCCUACCAAGGCAAAGAUGGGGAUGGGGUGUGAGAGCAUGCCCCCACUCACUGGGACUGAGACACUGCCCAGACACCUACGGGUGGCUGCAGUCGAGAAUCUUCGGCAAUGGACGCAAGUCUGACCGAG